rnacentral:rRNA from 1 species
UGGGGAAUAUUGCACAAUGGGCGGAAGCCUGAUGCAGCGACGCCGCGUGAGGGAUGACGGCCUUCGGGUUGUAAACCUCUUUCAGUAGGGACGAAGCGUAAGUGACGGUACCUGCAGAAGAAGCACCGGCUAACUACGUGCCAGCAGCCGCGGUAAUACGUAGGGUGCGAGCGUUGUCCGGAAUUACUGGGCGUAAAGAGCUCGUAGGCGGUUUGUCACGUCGUCUGUGAAAUCCUAGGGCUUAACCCUGGACGUGCAGGGGAUACGGGCUGACUUGAGUACUACAGGGGAGACUGGAAUUUCUGGUGUAGCGGUGGAAUGCACAGAUAUCAGGAAGAACACCGAUGGCGAAGGCAGGUCUCUGGGUAGUAACUGACGCUGAGGAGCGAAAGCAUGGGUAGCGAACAGG